rnacentral:rRNA from 1 species
GACAGAGGGUGCAAACGUUGUUCGGAAUUACUGGGCGUAAAGCGCGUGUAGGCGGCCCUGCAAGUCGGGUGUGAAAUCCCACGGCUCAACCGUGGAAGUGCACUCGAAACUGCAGGGCUAGAGUCCUGGAGAGGAAGGUGGAAUUCCUGGUGUAGCGGUGAAAUGCGCAGAUAUACAGGAGGAACACCGGUGGCGAAGGCGGGUCUCUGGGCCGUAACUGACGCUGAGGAGCGAAAGCAUGGGGAGCGAACAA